rnacentral:rRNA from 1 species
CAGUAGCCGCGGUAAUACGGAGGGAGCUAGCGUUAUUCGGAAUUACUGGGCGUAAAGCGCACGUAGGCGGCUUUGUAAGUAAGAGGUGAAAGCCCGGAGCUCAACUCCGGAACUGCCUUUUAGACUGCAUCGCUUGAAUCCAGGAGAGGUGAGUGGAAUUCCGAGUGUAGAGGUGAAAUUCGUAGAUAUUCGGAAGAACACCAGUGGCGAAGGCGGCUCACUGGACAAUUACUGACGCUGAUGCACGAAAGCUAGGGGAGCAAACAGGAUUAGAUACCCGGGUAGUCCCUGUCUCUUAUAC